rnacentral:rRNA from 1 species
UUACCAUGCAAGUCGAACGAUGAUCCCAGCUUGCUGGGGGAUUAGUGGCGAACGGGUGAGUAACACGUGAGUAACCUGCCCUUGACUCUGGGAUAAGCCUGGGAAACUGGGUCUAAUACCGGAUACGACCAUCUGGCGCAUGUCAUGGUGGUGGAAAGCUUUUGUGGUUUUGGAUGGACUCGCGGCCUAUCAGCUUGUUGGUGGGGUAAUGGCCUACCAAGGCGACGACGGGUAGCCGGCCUGAGAGGGUGACCGGCCACACUGGGACUGAGACACGGCCCAGACUCCUACGGGAGGCAGCAGUGGGGAAUAUUGCACAAUGGGCGCAAGCCUGAUGCAGCGACGCCGCGUGAGGGAUGACGGCCUUCGGGUUGUAAACCUCUUUCAGUAGGGAAGAAGCGUAAGUGACGGUACCUGCAGAAGAAGCGCCGGCUAACUACGUGCCAGCAGCCGCGGUAAUACGUAGGGCGCAAGCGUUAUCCGGAAUUAUUGGGCGUAAAGAGCUCGUAGGCGGUUUGUCGCGUCUGCUGUGAAAGACCGGGGCUCAACUCCGGUUCUGCAGUGGGUACGGGCAGACUAGAGUGCAGUAGGGGAGACUGGAAUUCCUGGUGUAGCGGUGAAAUGCGCAGAUAUCAGGAGGAACACCGAUGGCGAAGGCAGGUCUCUGGGCUGUAACUGACGCUGAGGAGCGAAAGCAUGGGGAGCGAACAGGAUUAGAUACCCUGGUAGUCCAUGCCGUAAACGUUGGGCACUAGGUGUGGGGGACAUUCCACGUUUUCCGCGCCGUAGCUAACGCAUUAAGUGCCCCGCCUGGGGAGUACGGCCGCAAGGCUAAAACUCAAAGGAAUUGACGGGGGCCCGCACAAGCGGCGGAGCAUGCGGAUUAAUUCGAUGCAACGCGAAGAACCUUACCAAGGCUUGACAUGAACCGGAAAGACCUGGAAACAGGUGCCCCGCUUGCGGUCGGUUUACAGGUGGUGCAUGGUUGUCGUCAGCUC